UGAACGCUGGCGGCGUGCUUAACACAUGCAAGUCGAACGAGAACGGAUUUAAGCUUGCUUAAAUUGUCAGCUAAGUGGCGCACGGGUGAGUAAUAUAUAGGUAACGUGCCCUAGAGAGGGGGAUAACAGUUGGAAACGACUGCUAACACCCCAUAUGCCUUUAAGUCAAAAGACUGCAAGGGAAAUAUUUAUAGCUCUAGGAUCGGCCUGUACGGUAUCAGCUUGUUGGUGAGGUAAUGGCUCACCAAGGCAAUGACACCUAACUGGUUUGAGAGGAUGAUCAGUCACACUGGAACUGAGACACGGUCCAGACUCCUACGGGAGGCAGCAGUGGGGAAUAUUGCACAAUGGACGAAAGUCUGAUGCAGCAACGCCGCGUGGAGGAUGACACAUUUCGGUGCGUAAACUCCUUUUAUAUAGGAAGAUAAUGACGGUACUAUAUGAAUAAGCGCCGGCUAACUCC
rnacentral:rRNA from 1 species